CCUACGGGAGGCAGCAGUGAGGAAUAUUGGUCAAUGGCCGGAAGGCUGAACCAGUCAUGCCGCGUGAAGGUCAGUGCCCUAUGGGCGUUAAACUUCUUUUGUGCGGGAGCAAUAAUGGUCACGUGUGGCCAGACGAGAGUACCGUACGAAUAAGCAUCGGCUAACUCCGUGCCAGCAGCCGCGGUAAUACGGGGGAUGCAAGCGUUAUCCGGAUUUAUUGGGUUUAAAGGGUGCGUAGGCUGUGAGGUAAGUCAGCGGUGAAAUGCCCCCGCUCAACGGGGUGAAGUGCCAUUGAUACUGCCUGGCUGGAAUGCGGAUGCCGUGGGAGGAAUGUGUGGUGUAGCGGUGAAAUGCAUAGAUAUCACACAGAACACCGAUUGCGAAGGCAUCUCACGAAGCCGCGAUUGACGCUGAUGCACGAAAGCGUGGGUAUCAAACAGGAUUAGAUACCCUAGUAGUC
rnacentral:rRNA from 1 species